CCUACGGGAGGCUGCAGUGGGGAAUAUUGGACAAUGGGGGCAACCCUGAUCCAGCCAUGCCGCGUGUGUGAAGAAGGCCCUCGGGUUGUAAAGCACUUUCAGUGAGGAAGAACGCCUGGUGGUUAAUACCCAUCAGGAAAGACAUCACUCACAGAAGAAGCACCGGCUAACUCCGUGCCAGCAGCCGCGGUAAUACGGAGGGUGCGAGCGUUAAUCGGAAUUACUGGGCGUAAAGCGCGCGUAGGUGGCUUGAUAAGCCGGUUGUGAAAGCCCCGGGCUCAACCUGGGAACGGCAUCCGGAACUGUCAAGCUAGAGUGCAGGAGAGGAAGGUAGAAUUCCCGGUGGAGCGGUGAAAUGCGUAGAGAUCGGGAGGAAGACCAGUGGCGAAGGCGGCCUUCUGGACUGACACUGACACUGAGGUGCGAAAGCGUGGGUAGCAAACAGGAUUAGAUACCCCUGUAGUC
rnacentral:rRNA from 1 species